rnacentral:tRNA from 1 species
UCCUCGGUAGUAUAUCGGCUAGUACACCCGCCUGUCAAUUGACGGUGCGCGGGAGAGCGGGGUUCGACUCCCCGCCGAGGAG